AACGAACGCUGGCGGCAUGCCUAACACAUGCAAGUCGAACGAGACCUUCGGGUCUAGUUGCGCACGUGUGCGUAACGCGUGGGAACCUGCCCUUAGGUUCGGAAUAACUCCCCGUAAGGGGUGCUAAUACCGGAUAAUGUCUUCGGACCAAAGAUUUGUCGCCUCGGGAUGGGCUCGCGGUGGAUUAGCUGGUUGGUGGGGUAAAAGCCUACCAAGGCGAGGAUGGGUAGCUGGUCUGAGAGGAUGAUCGGCCACACUGGGACUGAGAUACGGCCCAGACCCCUAUGGGAGGCAAGAGUGGGGAAUAGUGCACAAUGGACGGAAGCCUGAUGCAGCAAAGCCGCGGGCGGGAAGACGGCCAGCGGGUGGGAAACCGCAUUCGCCUGUGACGAAGCGUGAGUGACGGUAACGGGUAAAGAAGCUCCGGCUAACUACGUG
rnacentral:rRNA from 1 species